GAGCAGGUGGCCGAGUGGUUAAGGCGCUGUGUUCAGGUCGCAGUAUCUUCGGAUGCGCAGGUUCGAGUCCUGUCCUGCUCA
rfam:Thecamonas trahens ATCC 50062 unplaced genomic scaffold supercont1.2, whole genome shotgun sequence.